rnacentral:rRNA from 1 species
AUGGCGAGCUCGAGUUCCUCCGAGGGCAAGGCGGAGCUGGUUGAUCCCAAGGUUGAGGAAGACGCACCCGGCGAGUCGGCCGAAAACCCUGCAGGGUCGACGACGGAGGCGCUCACCAACAAGAAGAAGAAGCAGAAGAAGAAGGUGUUGAUUCAGGUGCCAGAUAGCGAUGUGAAACGUGUGCUCUCGUACAAGGAAAAACCCAUCGAUACGGAGGUGGACGACCUCUGGGUCAGGAGAGACCCAGAACUGGCUGCCAACUGGGGCAUCAUGCUGGCCAACUUGGCCAUGUUCAAGGAGCUCACCAAGGAGCGGAUGCUUGAAGAGCAGAGAGACUAUAGGGAGCAGUUAAAAACCAAGGGCAGAGUCACCUACGAGCUUGAGGUUGACCAAGACGAUCCCAGAUUUAAACAUGUUGAACCCACCACCUCUGCUGGAGCUGGAGCAGGACGGAGGAGGUACCGCCCGGGCGUCAUGAAAAAGCAAGAUGGGCAGAACAGGAAGCUAAAUUAA